rnacentral:rRNA from 1 species
UACGAGGCAGGUAGCAGCUGUUCGGUUCGGAAUUAUUGGGCGUAAAGGGCGCGUAGGCGGUGCGGUAAGUCAGCUGUGAAAUCUCCGGGCUCAACUCGGAGCCUGCAGUUGGAACUGCCGUGCUUGAGUAUGGGAGAGGUGAGUGGAAUUCCCGGUGUAGCAGUGAAAUGCGUAGAGAUCGGGAGGAACAUCAGUUGCGAAGGCGGCUCUCUGGACCAGCACUGACACUGAGGCACGAAAGCGUGGGGAGCAAACAGG